rnacentral:rRNA from 1 species
CGGAUAGAGCUAGCGAACUCGCUCGUAUUCAGCCAAAGGCCCGUAGUCGCCGGCUGCUGUGUUGCUAAUAACGCUCGGCGGUCGUCCGGCUGCGGGUUGAGGUGCAUUUGCGGGCGUUUGCGCUGAGACUUGUGGGGCAGCUGCUGGAUCUGUACACUAGAGGCCGCCCUCUGGGCGGAACCUGGUCGCAGUGACGGCUGUUUGCUCUGCUCGUAGUGGUACGGCUUACGGACCUUGGCCUCGCCGCGAUGUCUCACAGCCCUGGUAUCGCAUGCGAUGCUUAUCGGUGGGGCUGCGGUUGGGUCUGGUGUUCCCGUGCCAGUUCUCGGUGUAGAAGCUGGUCAUCUCUCCGACCCGUCUUGAAACACGGACCAAGGAGUUUAGCGUAUGCGCGAGUCAUUGGGUGUUGAAAACCCAUAGGCGCAAUGAAAGUAAAGGCUCGGUUGCCGGGCUGACAUGCGAGCGUGUGGGCCUCGGCCCUCGUGUGCAGCAUGGCCCCGUUCCGGUCGCUUGCGACGGAGCGGAGGUAGAGCGUAUGCGCUGAGACCCGAAAGAUGGUGAACUAUUCCUGAGCAGGACGAAGCCAGAGGAAACUCUGGUGGAAGUCCGAAGCGAUUCUGACGUGCAAAUCGAUCGUCU